rnacentral:tRNA from 1 species
ACCUAGUUAGCUUGGUGGGUAGAGUAUCUGCCUUGUAAGCGCUAGGUCGCGGGUUCGAUUCCCGCCCGGGGCG